rnacentral:misc_RNA from 1 species
UGUGGGAGCUGGCUUGCCUGCGAUAGCGGUGUGUCAGCCAAGCAUUCGCCAACUGAUUCAACGCUAUCGCAGGCAAGCCAGCUCCCACA